GCCUCUUAAGUCUGGAGCCGGAGGAGCUGUCCUCUGACCUCCAGCCCCUUAUCUCACCCUGCAGAGGGCCGCGCCACGCCUCUGGGCGUGGAAAUGAGGUCCGGGGGCUCCGCUCGGGGGGAGGCUCCUCCUCUCAAGCCCCAUCCCACUCCCUAGACCGCGGGGCCCAAAGGAGGGUGGGUCAGGCUGAGCUCCUGUGACCUGUCCGGCUCUGCUCCCAGGCUCCCUUCCACUGGGGGUCUUUCCCGAGCCCCACCAAUGAGGCCACACCCCCCACGGCAUCGCAGCUGAUGUGCAGGGCCCAGGAGGCUCUCCUGUCUGGCCCCAGCUCCUGGAAUAGAGAAUCGAGACCCUCGGUUCUCAAGCCUGGCUGUGGGUCACAAUCACCUGGACUGCUGAGCCCCACCCGGAGGUGAGCUGGUGACUGUUCAAGGACCCUGAUCUGUGACGUCAGCAGAUUUCCAUGGUCGGUCACUCCCAUUGUGACUUGGAUAACUCCAUGUAAUCAAGGUGACGUCACCGAAGCGAUGCUAACCAUUGGCUCCAUCACACCACCGGCCCUUGUAUUUUUAGUAAGUUCCAGGUGCAGUACAGAGGAGCCUGGUGGGUUACAGUUCAUUGGGUGGCAGAGUGGGACCCAGCUGAGCACACACAGCCUCCUGCCAAGGGGGGGUCACUGACCUCUGCGCACAGUGACUGCCAGCCAGCCGGGAGGAGGAACACAAACGGACACGAGACCCCUUCCUACUGAAAAACGCUCCGUCAGCAACCUUCACAUCCCCGUCUGCCCUCCGGGGCCA